rnacentral:rRNA from 1 species
CAGCCGCCACGGGGAAUACGUAGGAGGCAAGCGUUGUCCGGAAUUAUUGGGCGUAAAGGGCUCGCAGGCGGUUUCUUAAGUCUGAUGUGAAAGCCCCCGGCUCAACCGGGGAGGGUCAUUGGAAACUGGGAAACUUGAGUGCAGAAGAGGAGAGUGGAAUUCCACGUGUAGCGGUGAAAUGCGUAGAGAUGUGGAGGAACACCAGUGGCGAAGGCGACUCUCUGGUCUGUAACUGACGCUGAGGAGCGAAAGCGUGGGGAGCGAACAGGAUUAGAUACCCCCGUAGUCCCUGUCUCUUAUU